GCCGGCAUGGCGGAAUAGGCAGACGCAAGGGACUUAAAAUCCCUCGGGGGCAACCCCAUACCGGUUCAAGUCCGGCUGCCGGCA
rnacentral:tRNA from 1 species